rnacentral:rRNA from 1 species
GAUGAACGCUGGCGGCGUGCCUAAUACAUGCAAGUCGAGCGAACGGACGAGAAGCUUGCUUCUCUGAUGUUAGCGGCGGACGGGUGAGUAACACGUGGAUAACCUACCUAUAAUACUGGGAUAACUUCGGGAAACCGGAGCUAAUACCGGAUAAUAUUUUGAACCGCAUGGUUCAAAAGUGAAAGACGGUCUUGCUGUCACUUAUAGAUGGAUCCGCGCUGCAUUAGCUAGUUGGUAAGGUAACGGCUUACCAAGGCAACGAUGCAUAGCCGACCUGAGAGGGGUAUCGGCCACACGGGAACUGAGACACGGUCCAAACUCCUACGGGAGGCAGCAGUAGGGAAUCUUGCGCAAUGGGCGAAAGCCUGACGGAGCAACGCCGCGUGAGUGAUGAAGGUCUUCGGAUCGUAAAACUCUGUUAUUAGGGAAGAACAUAUGUGUAAGGAACUGUGCACAUCUUGACGGUACCUAAUCAGAAAGCCACGGCUAACUACGUG